CGCGUAGGCGGGUGAUCAAGUCCGGGGUGAAAUCCUCCAGCUUAACUGGAGAAUAGCCCUGGAUACUGGUCGUCUGGAGGGAGGUAGGGGCAUGUGGAACUUCCGGUGGAGCGGUGAAAUGCGUAGAUAUCGGAAGGAACGCCGGUGGCGAAAGCGACGUGCUGGACCUCUUCUGACGCUGAGGCGCGAAAGCCAGGGGAGCAAACGGGAUUAGAUACCCCGGUAGUCCUGGCCCUAAACGAUGGGUACUAGAUUGUAGACUUAACAUGGGUUUACAGUCGAAGCAAAAGUGUUAAGUACCCCGCCUGGGGAGUAUGGUCGCAAGGCUGAA
rnacentral:rRNA from 1 species